GGGAUGUAGCUCAGUUGGUAGAGCACUUGCCUUGAAAGCACAAGGCCCUGGGUUUAAUCCCCAGCACCACCCA
rnacentral:tRNA from 1 species